rnacentral:lncRNA from 1 species
AAGGGAAAGGGGAAAGAAAGAGGGGAAGAGAAGGGAAGGGGACUGCAGUCCGAAAGGGAGCCUUUGGGGAGCAAGGACCCUAAAUGAUAGGACGCAGAAUUGGUCGAGAGAAAGCCUAGACUGGAGGCAGCUGCAGCCGGCACAGGAAGCGCAUUUAUUUAUUUGGAGGAAAAAGGAGGGGAGGGAGGAGAGCAAGGGGUAAGAAGUGGGUUCCGGCCGAAGUGGAUGGAAGGGGACCCGGGUUUCUGCGGAGUAGGGAGCCGCCAACCAGGGCGAUGGCGCUAAGGUCGGCGCGGAGCGGCUGUGCGCCUGACAACGCGUCUCCUCGCGGAGGACCUGCCGGCGUCGGAAAGGUCUGCGCCAAGAGGAACCAACUUGUGGCUCCAAAAUGUACCCAACGCAGCUGGAAAUGAGAUCAAAGCUGCAGUUUCAUUCGAGAAGGAUGAGAGGAGCCAGCGAUUAGGGAAUUUUUUUUCUUUUUAAAAACCUUCGUUCCUGUUUCUUCUUUCUUUCUUUCUUUUUUAUUCUUUCUCUUUUUUUCCUUUUUUUUUUUUUUUCUUUUAAAAAUUUGUUCCACACCGCGUCGGUCCCACCACUGCCUUCCCCAUUUGAAAUAAAAGCCCAGUCCGAACUUCCAUCGCUGGCGCCCCUGGAUCUGCUGUCCGCUGAUGGAGGAGAAGGGGACCUGGGUGCUGGCAGGGGCCACCGGCGAGGGACCGCAUCACGCGUCUCCCCCGUGAUCCUGGCCCUGAUCGCGGAGUUCUGCCACACCUGGAAGAUCUGGACCGGGUGCUGGGGUGGGGGCGGGGACAGAGUGAAAGCCACCCCGAGCCUUUAAAAAAAAAAAAAAAAAAAAGUAGCGGGGGGGGGAGGAAUGGAUUUCUUGACAGCUGACGGAGCCUUGAAAUUUUCCUCCACUACCUCCGCCCCCGCCCCCCGCACUCCAUUUAACGUGAGAUUAUGAAAUUGCAGAGGCGGUGGAGGGAAGGAGACAGGAUAUAACCGGGAGUUUCGAGGGGAGAGGGGAAGGUGGCUGGCCGGGUGGCUGAAAUCAAAAAUCCAAUUGCGCACUGGGUUGUGAUGCGAAAUCUAAUCAGAUCUUUGGCAAAGGGGCCGGCCGGAAGGGUAGCGAGUGGGGGGAGUUGAUCCCCAAAUUCUUGGAAGGGGGGGUGUAGAAAAAGGAAUCGACUAUGUAAGAGGUGACUUUUUUGGUGGCGGUGGCUGCUGGGUGCCUUGCAAAAAUGAAGAAUGCGGGACGCAGCUCUCUCUGGGAGCCGAACGCAGUGGAUAAACUGAUCGUGCCAGAGAGAAGGAAGAACGAAGCUUUUUCUUCUGAGACCUGGAUCUUAACCUAAAUGUGUGUAUGUGCACACCGGGAGCGUUGAAAAAUGAAAUAAGCCAGUGGCAGACCUGCGGGAAUUGGUGUGUUUCUGACAAAUAAAUAAUAACAAGACAGUUGCUCCCCCUCCCCAAAAGGAUGAUUGGAAAUGAAAAAACGCGGAUCCACGAAGGAAAAGUAUGCUCAUUUUUCUCUAUAAAGGAGAAAGUGCGCCAAGGAGAUAUUUUUGGAGUGAAAAGUUUGGGGCUUUUUUAGGAAAGUAAAGACCUGAUAUGGUGGUUCUUCUUCUUCAUCAUCAUCAUCAUCUUCUUCUUCUUGUUGUUGUUUUUUUUUCUUUUUGAAUUUCCCACAAGAGGAGAGGAAAUUAAUAAUACAUCUGCAAAGAAAUUUCAGAGAAGAAAAGUUGACCGCGGCAGAAUGAGGCAUUGAUUGGGGGAGAGAAACCAGCAAAGCACAGUUGGAUUUGUGCCUAUGUUGACUAAAAUUGACGGAUAAUUGCAGUUGGAUUUUUUUUAUCAACCUUUUUUUUUUUUUUUCCUCCCUCUCAUUUUGGUGUCAAGAUCAUGCGUUUUCUCUUGUUCUUAACCACCUGGAUUUCCGUCUGGAUGUUGCUGUGAUGAGUCUGAAAUACAGUGAGUGAUCCUUAUUUUCUUAUUUAUUUG